UACAGAGGAUGCAAGCGUUAUCCGGAAUGAUUGGGCGUAAAGCGUCUGUAGGUGGCUUUUUAAGUCCGCCGUCAAAUCCCAGGGCUCAACUCUGGACAGGCGGUGGAAACUACCAAGCUGGAGUACGGUAGGGGCAGAGGGAAUUUCCGGUGGAGCGGUGAAAUGCGUAGAUAUCGAGAGGAACACCAGUGGCGAAGGCGAGUCCCUGGACAAAACCUGACACUGAGGCACGAAAGCUAGGGGAGCAAACAGG
rnacentral:rRNA from 1 species